AGCUUGCUNNNUGGAUUAGUGGCGAACGGGUGAGUAACACGUGAGUAACCUGCCCUUGACUCUGGGAUAAGCACUGGAAACGGUGUCUAAUACCGGAUAUAUCAGCUGGCCGCAUGGUCUGGUUGUGGAAAGAAUUUUGGUCAAGGAUGGACUCGCGGCCUAUCAGGUAGUUGGUGAGGUAAUGGCUCACCAAGCCUACGACGGGUAGCCGGCCUGAGAGGGUGACCGGCCACACUGGGACUGAGACACGGCCCAGACUCCUACGGGAGGCAGCAGUGGGGAAUAUUGCACAAUGGGCGAAAGCCUGAUGCAGCAACGCCGCGUGAGGGAUGACGGCCUUCGGGUUGUAAACCUCUUUUAGUAGGGAAGAAGCGAAAGUGACGGUACCUGCAGAAAAAGCACCGGCUAACUACGUGCCAGCAGCCGCGGUAAUACGUAGGGUGCAAGCGUUGUCCGGAAUUAUUGGGCGUAAAGAGCUCGUAGGCGGUUUGUCGCGUCUGCUGUGAAAACUGGAGGCUCAACCUCCAGCCUGCAGUGGGUACGGGCAGACUAGAGUGCGGUAGGGGAGAUUGGAAUUCCUGGUGUAGCGGUGGAAUGCGCAGAUAUCAGGAGGAACACCGAUGGCGAAGGCAGAUCUCUGGGCCGUAACUGACGCUGAGGAGCGAAAGCAUGGGGAGCGAACAGGAUUAGAUACCCUGGUAGUCCAUGCCGUAAACGUUGGGAACUAGAUGUGGGGGCCAUUCCACGGUCUCCGUGUCGCAGCUAACGCAUUAAGUUCCCCGCCUGGGGAGUACGGCCGCAAGGCUAAAACUCAAAGGAAUUGACGGGGGCCCGCACAAGCGGCGGAGCAUGCGGAUUAAUUCGAUGCAACGCGAAGAACCUUACCAAGGCUUGACAUAUACGAGAACGGGCCAGAAAUGGUCAACUCUUUGGACACUCGUAAACAGGUGGUGCAUGGUUGUCGUCAGCUCGUGUCGUGAGAUGUUGGGUUAAGUCCCGCAACGAGCGCAACCCUCGUUCUAUGUUGCCAGCACGUUAUGGUGGGAACUCAUAGGARACUGCCGGGGUCANNUCGGAGGAAGGUGGGGAUGACGUCAAAUCAUCAUGCCCCUUAUGUCUUGGGCUUCAGCAUGCUACAUGGCCGGUACAAGGGCUGCA
rnacentral:rRNA from 1 species